rnacentral:rRNA from 1 species
UUAAGUUAUUAAGGGCGCACGGUGGAUGCCUUGGCACUAGAAGCCGAUGAAGGACGUUACUAACGACGAUAUGCUUUGGGGAGCUGUAAGUAAGCUUUGAUCCAGAGAUUUCCGAAUGGGGAAACCCAGCAUGAGUUAUGUCAUGUUAUCGAUAUGUGAAUACAUAGCAUAUCAGAAGGCACACCCGGAGAACUGAAACAUCUUAGUACCCGGAGGAAGAGAAAGAAAAUUCGAUUCCCUUAGUAGCGGCGAGCGAAACGGGAAGAGCCCAAACCAACAAGCUUGCUUGUUGGGGUUGUAGGACACUCUAUACGGAGUUACAAAGGACGACAUUAGACGAAUCAUCUGGAAAGAUGAAUCAAAGAAGGUAAUAAUCCUGUAGUCGAAAAUGUUGUCUCUCUUGAGUGGAUCCUGAGUACGACGGAGCACGUGAAAUUCCGUCGGAAUCUGGGAGGACCAUCUCCUAAGGCUAAAUACUCUCUAGUGACCGAUAGUGAACCAGUACCGUGAGGGAAAGGUGAAAAGCACCCCGGAAGGGGAGUGAAAUAGAACCUGAAACCGUGUGCUUACAAGUAGUCAGAGCCCGUUAAUGGGUGAUGGCGUGCCUUUUGUAGAAUGAACCGGCGAGUUACGAUUUGAUGCAAGGUUAAGCAGUAAAUGUGGAGCCGUAGCGAAAGCGAGUCUGAAUAGGGCGUUUAGUAUUUGGUCGUAGACCCGAAACCAGGUGAUCUACCCUUGGUCAGGUUGAAGUUCAGGUAACACUGAAUGGAGGACCGAACCGACUUACGUUGAAAAGUGAGCGGAUGAACUGAGGGUAGCGGAGAAAUUCCAAUCGAACCUGGAGAUAGCUGGUUCUCUCCGAAAUAGCUUUAGGGCUAGCCUCAAGUGAUGAUUAUUGGAGGUAGAGCACUGUUUGGACGAGGGGCCCCUCUCGGGUUACCGAAUUCAGACAAACUCCGAAUGCCAAUUAAUUUAACUUGGGAGUCAGAACAUGGGUGAUAAGGUCCGUGUUCGAAAGGGAAACAGCCCAGACCACCAGCUAAGGUCCCAAAAUAUAUGUUAAGUGGAAAAGGAUGUGGCGUUGCCCAGACAACUAGGAUGUUGGCUUAGAAGCAGCCAUCAUUUAAAGAGUGCGUAAUAGCUCACUAGUCGAGUGACACUGCGCCGAAAAUGUACCGGGGCUAAACAUAUUACCGAAGCUGUGGAUUGUCCUUUGGACAAUGGUAGGAGAGCGUUCUAAGGGCGUUGAAGCAUGAUCGUAAGGACAUGUGGAGCGCUUAGAAGUGAGAAUGCCGGUGUGAGUAGCGAAAGACGGGUGAGAAUCCCGUCCACCGAUUGACUAAGGUUUCCAGAGGAAGGCUCGUCCGCUCUGGGUUAGUCGGGUCCUAAGCUGAGGCCGACAGGCGUAGGCGAUGGAUAACAGGUUGAUAUUCCUGUACCACCUAUAAUCGUUUUAAUCGAUGGGGGGACGCAGUAGGAUAGGCGAAGCGUGCGAUUGGAUUGCACGUCUAAGCAGUAAGGCUGAGUAUUAGGCAAAUCCGGUACUCGUUAAGGCUGAGCUGUGAUGGGGAGAAGACAUUGUGUCUUCGAGUCGUUGAUUUCACACUGCCGAGAAAAGCCUCUAGAUAGAAAAUAGGUGCCCGUACCGCAAACCGACACAGGUAGUCAAGAUGAGAAUUCUAAGGUGAGCGAGCGAACUCUCGUUAAGGAACUCGGCAAAAUGACCCCGUAACUUCGGGAGAAGGGGUGCUCUUUAGGGUUAACGCCCAGAAGAGCCGCAGUGAAUAGGCCCAAGCGACUGUUUAUCAAAAACACAGGUCUCUGCUAAACCGUAAGGUGAUGUAUAGGGGCUGACGCCUGCCCGGUGCUGGAAGGUUAAGAGGAGUGGUUAGCUUCUGCGAAGCUACGAAUCGAAGCCCCAGUAAACGGCGGCCGUAACUAUAACGGUCCUAAGGUAGCGAAAUUCCUUGUCGGGUAAGUUCCGACCCGCACGAAAGGCGUAACGAUUUGGGCACUGUCUCAACGAGAGACUCGGUGAAAUCAUAGUACCUGUGAAGAUGCAGGUUACCCGCGACAGGACGGAAAGACCCCGUGGAGCUUUACUGUAGCCUGAUAUUGAAAUUCGGCACAGCUUGUACAGGAUAGGUAGGAGCCUUUGAAACGUGAGCGCUAGCUUACGUGGAGGCGCUGGUGGGAUACUACCCUAGCUGUGUUGGCUUUCUAACCCGCACCACUUAUCGUGGUGGGAGACAGUGUCAGGCGGGCAGUUUGACUGGGGCGGUCGCCUCCUAAAAGGUAACGGAGGCGCUCAAAGGUUCCCUCAGAAUGGUUGGAAAUCAUUCAUAGAGUGUAAAGGCAUAAGGGAGCUUGACUGCGAGACCUACAAGUCGAGCAGGGUCGAAAGACGGACUUAGUGAUCCGGUGGUUCCGCAUGGAAGGGCCAUCGCUCAACGGAUAAAAGCUACCCCGGGGAUAACAGGCUUAUCUCCCCCAAGAGUUCACAUCGACGGGGAGGUUUGGCACCUCGAUGUCGGCUCAUCGCAUCCUGGGGCUGUAGUCGGUCCCAAGGGUUGGGCUGUUCGCCCAUUAAAGCGGUACGCGAGCUGGGUUCAGAACGUCGUGAGACAGUUCGGUCCCUAUCCGUCGUGGGCGUAGGAAAUUUGAUAGGAGCUGUCCUUAGUACGAGAGGACCGGGAUGGACAUACCUCUGGUGUACCAGUUGUCGUGCCAACGGCAUAGCUGGGUAGCUAUGUGUGGACG